AGGUACAAAUAUUUCAUUUGAUCAUCACAACAAUCCUUGAAGAUAGGUGCUCUUGCCAUCCUCAUCUUAUACAUGAGGAGUAGAGCUCCAUAAUGGCUGCUCACUAGGUCCACGCAUUUCCUGAACAUCAUGAACUGCACAGAGAUGCUUCUGUUGGGCCAUCUGUCCCUGAGGCACAAGACAUGCCUGUUUUUGUACCCAGGACCAGCAAUAUUGUACAACGAUCAGCUGUGAAAGACUAAGUUAGCUGCCCUGUGCAGCCCAAUGAUCUGGAACGAUUCUGAAGGCCUUAGGACAAAGAACACUACCCGAUGUAAAAAAUAGACUCGAAUACAGGACUACAAUCCCCAUGAGC
rnacentral:lncRNA from 1 species